UGGCGCCGGCCCAGUCAGUGUCAGGGGAGCGGUUUCAGAGGCCGGUGCUCUGUGUCAGCGCUGCUCGGGGAACGCACCAGCUCUGCCCUGUAAUCUUUGUCAGGAAACGAUUGUCUGAGGCCAGGGAGGCUUCAAGCCAGCUUCUUACGUGACUUGGUGGAGGCUGGGUUUAGGCAACGUGUGGUGGAUCCCCUGGCUGGCGGCCUGCGCUGCGCCUCCGUUGGGCUCUGCCCGGCUCCCCUGGGCCCGAACGCAUCGCCCCCGGAGCCAGGACACUGCCGUCGGCAGCGGGGCACGGCUGACCUCUGCGCAUGGCUCCUUCCUCCUGACAGCCGCCUAGAUCCUUUUCCCACUGAUAGAGCCCAGGAACAUCAUGUCCAUGUCAGAAACUGCAUUUCUUCAGUUGUCUAUCCUGUACCUUUGAAGUGUAGAGUUCCUCUUGUGGCUGUUUGAAAGCUGAUUCAUGCAGAGCCUGAGGUGUGCUGGAAUGUGUCCAGAGAAGGACCACGAGGAUGAUCAGAGGCUAGAGCACCUCUCCUAUGGAGACAGACUGAGAGAGUUGGGGCUGUUCAGUCUGGAGAGGAGAAGGCUCCAAGGAGACCUUAUUGUGGCCUUCCAGUAUCUGAAGGGGACCCACAAGAAAGCUGGAAUGGUGAUGGAAGAGCUCUGCUUUACUCUUCUGUGUGAGAGUUUUUCUGCAGCUAGGCCAUCUUGGAAUUCCUGGAAGCAGAACUGCUAGGUAUUUUUCUUCUCUUUUCCACAGCAUCCUAAUUUACAGGUAGCUUUAUGACUGAGUUUUCACUGAGCAUCAGGAAAGUUAGUUUACAAGAGGAUAACAAGCAAAAUGUAACCCUCUGUUUUUGUAGAUUUUUUUGGGAGUAAAACUUUCCAGUAAUAAUGAAUUCCAGGAAUGAAUCCAUUCACUUUUGUCUCUGCUAUGUUUUAAAGUCCUACAUUGUUUAAA